CCUACGGGAGGCUGCAGUGAGGAAUAUUGGUCAAUGGGCGGGAGCCUGAACCAGCCAAGUCGCGUGAGGGAAGACGGUCCUAUGGAUUGUAAACCUCUUUAGGCGGGGAGCAAGGCCGGGCACGCGUGCCCGGAGGGAGAGUACCCGCAGAAGAAGCAGCGGCUAACUCCGUGCCAGCAGCCGCGGUAAUACGGAGGAUGCGAGCGUGAUCCGGAUUUAGUGGGGUUAAAGGGGGCGUCGGCGGAUUUUGAAGUCAGCGGUAAACUGCCCGGGCUCAACCCGGGCCGGCCGUUGAAACGGGGGAUCUUGCGUGGGCGAGCAGUAUGCGGAAUGCGUGUUGUAGCGGUGAAAUGCAUAGAUAUCACGCAGAACUCCGAUUGCGCCGGCCGCGUACCGGCGCCCGCCUGACGCUGAGGCACGAACGCGUGGGGAUCGAACAGGAUUAGAUACCCUUGUAGUC
rnacentral:rRNA from 1 species